UACAGAGGGUGCGAGCGUUGUCCGGAAUCACUGGGCGUAAAGGGCGCGUAGGCGGCUUGCUAAGGUUGCGGUGAAAGCCCGGGGCUCAACCCCGGGUCGGCCGUGGCAACUGUCGAGCUGGAGCACUGUAGAGGCAGGUGGAAUUCCGGGUGCAGCGGUGGAAUGCGUAGAGAUCCGGAAGAACACCGGUGGCGAAGGCGGCCUGCUGGGCAGUGGCUGACGCUGAGGCGCGACAGCGUGGGGAGCAAACAGG
rnacentral:rRNA from 1 species